GACGAACGCUGGCGGCGUGCCUAAUACAUGCAAGUCGAGCGGACUGAAUGGGAGCUUGCUCUUGUUCGGUCAGCGGCGGACGGGUGAGUAACACGUGGGCAACCUGCCCGCAAGACCGGGAUAACUCCGGGAAACCGGAGCUAAUACCGGAUAACACCGAAGACCGCAUGGUCUUUGGUUGAAAGGCGGCGCAAGCUGCCACUUGCGGAUGGGCCCGCGGCGCAUUAGCUAGUUGGUGAGGUAACGGCUCACCAAGGCGACGAUGCGUAGCCGGCCUGAGAGGGUGACCGGCCACACUGGGACUGAGGCACGGCCCAGACUCCUACGGGAGGCAGCAGUAGGGAAUCUUCCGCAAUAGGCGAAAGCCUGACGGAGCGACGCCGCGUGAGCGAAGAAGGCCUUCGGGUCGUAAAGCUCUGUUGUGAGGGACGAAGGAGCGCCGUUUGAAGAAGGCGGCGCGGUGACGGUACCUCACGAGGAAGCCCCGGCUAACUACGUG
rnacentral:rRNA from 1 species